GUUUUGCCAUGUUGCCUGGGCUGAUUGUGAACUUCUAGGCUCAAGCCAUCUGCCUGCCUUGGCCUCCUAGGAUUACAGAUGGCUACCUUCUUGCUGUAUCUUCACAUGGUGGAAAGAGUGAGUGAGCACUGGUCUGUUUCUCUUCUUACAAGGACACUAAUCUCAUCAUGAAGACUCUACUCUCACGACAUCUUCUAAACCUAAUUACCUCCCAAAGGCCCCACCUCCUAAUACCAUCACAUAAGUGGGUUUCAACAUGUGAAUUUGGGGGAGGCAUAAACUUUCAGUUCAUAACAGCUUCUUUGCAUGCUUGCUCAUUUUUAAAUUAGAUUCCACACAGUAAAUUUUAUAUUGUUGAGUACCUGAUUUCAUUUGAUUCCUUUAAAGAGUGUUGUAGUUUGUUUUGCGAAGCCCUUUUGGUUCUUUCAAAUUUUGCUCAGGUGGAUUUAGAGCAGUCUUUAGUCCUAGGUUAGCCCCACUACUGACAUCUAACCUUUCCGAGGUCUCUUCCAAAUGUUCUUCAUAUUAUGAAGUUUCUGUACUCUGAUUUGUGAACUAUUCCUAGACUCAUUCUGGGAAUAGUUCAGCCUACUGAUUUCCUGCUCUCAGUCUCAAGGAGU
rnacentral:lncRNA from 10 species